GAAAGAAAAAUAAAAUAAAAAUAAUGAGAACAUGAUGUUGGUUCAGAUUAAAUGCUAUAUAGAGACAUAACACAUGCGAGUAUAAAAAUAUAUUUAUAUAUUAAAAUGCGAACUGGUGAGUGUAAAAUAAUUAUAAAAUAAUUAUAACAGAUGUAGGUAUUAGUGAAAACUAGCCUUAGAACUGGAAUCGAUGAUUAAAGUCAGAACGAUCACAUGAGCUUUAGGCUUACUCUUAUUAGGAGCAGCAGUGGGGAAUAUUUGACAAUGGUCUCACGACUGAUCAAGUUAUCUAUAAGAAGGAAAUUAAUAUAAUAUAUAUUUUAUUAUAUAUAUUAUAAUAUUUAUAUAUCUUUUUAUUAAGAUAAAAUAUUAAAAAUAAUAAAAGGAAGACUAUAAACUUCUAAAUAUUUAUAAUAAUGAUAUAAAUAUGAAUAAGUCCUGGCUAAUACAUGUGCCAGCAGUUGCGGUUAGACAUGGAGGGCUAGCAUUAUUCAAAAUGGCUUAAAGGACCUGUAGAACUUUUCUUAAAUAUUAAGAAAUAGAAUAUAAAAUAAAGUGAUAAGAAAUAUAGUUAGAGAGAUGAAAUACGAUGAAAACAUUAUGACUGCAAAGAAAUCACAAUAAAUAUAUUGACGUUGUGAGGUGAAGGCUACGGUAGCGACAUGGAUUUGUUACCCAUUUAGUCGUAGCAGAAAACUAUGAAUACAAUAAAAGAUAAGUAAAAACAAAUAGUAUUCCGCCUGACUAGUACGCUCGCAAGGGUGAAAUACAAGACAUUAGACGGUUGUAAUCAAAAGCAGUGGAACAUGUCGUUUAAUUGGAUGAUCCUCCUAAAAUCUUACCAUCACUUGAAUAAUUUAUAUUUAUAUAAAUUACAGGCGUUACAUCGUUGUCGUCAGUUCAUGCCGUGAGGUUUAAUAUUAAGUUAUUUAAUGAACGUAAACCUUAUUAUAUUUAAUAUGCAUUGUAUAUAAUACAAUGGGAAGUUAAGGAUGAAGACUAAUCAUGAUGACCCUUAUGUGAUGGGCUAUAGACGUGUUACGAUUUUAUUAACAAUUAUAUUUCUUUUAUAUAAAAAGAGAUUAUUUAAAUAAUAAAAAUUAGAAAUUAUUUCAAUUAUGGAUUAUUAUCUGAAAUUCGAUAAUAUUAAAUAGGAAUUGCUAGUAAUCGCAAACAAGAGUGUUGCGGUGAAAAUAUUAAUUACUUCGUACUAACCACUCAUCAAUAGCAAGAAGCUUUUUACUUAUUUAAUUUUAUUAUUAAAUUAGUUACUAAGUGACCUGCUGUAAGUUGAAAUACGGUUCGGUUAGGGGAACCUGAUCGGGGUUUAUUAAUUUAUAAAUAUAUUCUUUUUUAUACAAUAUAUACUAUAUAUAUUAUAUUAUAUAUAAUAUACAAUAUACAAUUUAUAUAUAUUAUACCUUUUGUAAAGGUUUAUUUA
rnacentral:rRNA from 1 species